UCCAGUCAGAACGGGCAAGGCUGUGGGAAAUCUGAUGGAUUCAUAUUGCUAGCACCUGUCUCUUGUAGGUCUGGAUUAAUAUCUCUGUUUUGUCAAUAUGACAACACCUUGAACUGAUGUAGUAGCUGGAAGGCUAAAGGCAAACAAGCUUCUAUGGUCUGCUAUGUGAAAGGAACACUUUGCUGAUCUGCACAGAGGGAUUAUGCAAUCAUCAAAUAAAUUCCAGAAAGUUGAAUGCUGCUAUCUGGAGAAGGAAGAAGGAUAUGGCAGAUGGUAGCAGUUCAGAUGAAAGAUAACGACCAGACAUUAAAUUUUGAAUGAAGAGUGUAAGCUACCUGAGCUCCAGUUUAAAAGAAACUCCACAGCAAAGAAGACUCCUAUUUCAGAUAUUUAUUGAAGCUGUUCUUUGAGCAAGAAUGAAGGGAGAGUGACUGUGUCCUUGGCUACUUUUAUUUGAUACUGUUGGGGCUGGUCUUUUACCAAAAAAGGGCAGAUGUUUCAAGGCUGUGAUGGAAAUCAUCUUACUAUGACAGCUUAAUAUGAAAAUCCAAGAGGAAUGGAAAUCUUGAUGAAGCUCUUCUGAUUUCUUCAUGUACACUCAUGAUAAAUGGCAUAAUAUACAAAUGAGAAGUCUUGUCUACCAAGGAAAUAACAAUGGUGGCCACCCUAGCACUGCUGCGAUUGUGCACACGGCCGCAACCGACAGUACAAGCCUGUGAAUAACCGCUAUGCCACCAGGAAAACAAACAGCUAUCAAAAACCGCAGCAACCAAGUAAAAAUCCACUAGACCACCAUGGAACAACGUAAAAUCAGCAAAAUGACAAGAAAACGCACAAGCCUAGACGAAUACGCUGCUAAACUACCAGGGAACCCAAUUAAGAAGAAAGAAGACCUAUAAGUAGACGAAUAACCAUUAAACCACCAUGGACACAAGUACAGGAAAAAAAGAAACCAUGAAAACUCAAAACUAAUAACCUACAAGAAAUUAAAAACACUGAUCUCCCUAAACUACCCCCUGUAAUAUGUCUACACUACAUAUCUACACAAAACUGUCAUAUGCCUUUUCAUCAACACACCAUAAUCUGCAAUA